rnacentral:rRNA from 1 species
UACGUAGGGCGCAAGCGUUGUCCGGAAUUAUUGGGCGUAAAGAGCUCGUAGGCGGCUUGUCACGUCGGGGUGUGAAAGCCCCGGGGGCUUAACCCCGGGUCUGCAUUCGAUACGGGGCUAGCUAGAGUGUGGUAGGGGGAGAUCGGAAUUCCUGGUGUAGCGGUGAAAUGCGCAGAUAUCAGGAGGAACACCGGUGGCGAAGGCGGAUCUCUGGGCCAUUACUGACGCUGAGGAGCGAAAGCGUGGGGAGCGAACAGG